rnacentral:ncRNA from 1 species
UGAUAGCAUUGAAGCGUGAGGUUGCUGACCUCAAUUUGAGGCAGGUUUUCCGUGGAGCGAAUGUCAAGUUAGAAAACUGGCGACAA